AGGACGAACGCUGGCGGCGUGCUUAACACAUGCAAGUCACGGGGGCCCGCAAGGGCAACCGGCGAACGGGUGCGUAACACGUGAGCAACCUGCCUAUCUGCGGGGGAUAGCCGGCCCAACGGCCGGGUAAUACCGCAUACGUUCACGAGGGGACAUCCCCUUGUGAGGAAAACUCCGGUGCAGAUAGAGGGGCUCGCGGCCUAUCAGCUAGUUGGUGAGGUAACGGCUCACCAAGGCGACGACGGGUA
rnacentral:rRNA from 1 species